CAGCGCGGGAACGAGGAAUAAACGAUUCGUUUCUAACUAUCAAUCUACGCGUGCGCGGUUUCACCGGUUCAGUCGCAUGAUCAUUACCAAUCUGGUGACGACAUUAUGAAGCAAAACUGAAUCAGCGAACGAGAGUAAUAAUUUCUUUCACACACUGUAUGUUUCUGAUUGCAAGAAAAACAGAGUUGGAUUCUUGCUUUCAUAUCAAAAACAAUAUUCAUUUGAUUAAAAGUUCAUAAAAGAAGAGGUUGAAGAAGAAGAGAUUGAAGAAGAAGAGGUUAGUUUAUGUUAUUGAGAAGAUUCGUACAUGCUUGAAAGGAAUAAUUAUUGGAUUCCUGAAAUAUUUAAUUAUUUAAAAUAAAAAAAUGAAGCCGAUUGCAGUGCCGAUACUUACGACCGUAUAAGAGGACCGGUGCCAUUCCGAGAUAAUCCUCUUACUGGUGGUCCACGAGCGAAACACGGAAACAGUUCUCAACGGUAUUAUUUCACGAGAAAAAAGUUCACAGAUUGGUCAUAAUACUUGGAAAGAAUUUUAAACAGGCUGACACGUCUCGUUAUGAAGCUCUGUAAAAGAAAUUAUUAAGCAGAAAACGUAGAACGUAGAUCUAAAAUAAAAUAAACCUGUAUUGUAUGUUCUGCACAUUUUUAUCAUAAAUUUUGUGAAAAACUUUCUGGUGAUAAUGAUAUUUUUCGAACGUGUCAAAUAUUUUUUUGAAAAUUAAUUUUUAUCAUCUUUAAUCGAUAAGAAAGAUAUACUAUGAAUUAUAGAAGGACAAAGUAACGAAUCCAUUAACACAACCCUCUUGUUCCUUCAUCCUCACCGACAUCUUUAUCGAUCACGGAUAAACCGCAAUGGACGAACAAUAAACGCUCUUACAAAUGAAUCUCGACCACGCACUCAACGAUAAACGUACUCCACCCCCACGCAGUUACAAGAUUUAUAUUCCAUUAGAACCUUUUCUCCUUUUCCUCUGUUCUUCGCCGUAUAAUAUAUACACAUCGACCUUUGGAACUUUAUUUAUCCACUCGCCGUGCCAGACGAUACCUCAUUACCGCUUAAUUACCGGAGUGAGUGUCUUGCGACCGACAACGGAUAGAUGCUGUGGCUACUAUAUUCUGUCGAAGUUAAAUAUAAUUACGCGAAAUCUAUACCAGCUUGUUGAUAAAUAUUCGUCUAUAUUUUUAUAGUUUGAUUUGUUGAGAAAUUUAAAAAUAAAAAAUAUUAAAUCUAAUAGAGAAGAAGAUAUAAAAGUUAAAUUUUUGGUGUGAACAUGCAUUAGAGUUAAUUAUAAUAUUAGAUUUAGAUCGAAGAACACACUAAAUUUUAAAUUUCAAAUUUUAAUAAGAGCUUCAAUAAUAUUGUAUGAUGAGAAAUUUUCCUAUCAGUAAAAAAUUUUCAUUAUAGGUACAUCUACGUUUUGUGCUGAAUUCCGAUUAAUGAGAUUCUACUCAUUACCCUAAUUCUUCUAUAUUAUAGAUCAUUUUCUGCUUCAUUUUUCACGUUAUUUUCUUAAGUGCAAAAAAUUAUAAAAUUCUAUCAUAUUUCUAUUAAAAAAUUUUCGCUUAAUCAAAAUACUUCAUAUGAAAUAUAAAUAAUGAAUCGUAUUCAAUUAUACAUUAAUAACAAGACUACGAAAAUAUUAAUAUUAAACGAUUAACUCGUAGCAUACACAAUGUGCAUACAAACAUCAAUGACUUGUGAUUU